rnacentral:rRNA from 1 species
AGAGUUUGAUCCUGGCUCAGGAUGAACGCUAGCGGGAGGCCUAACACAUGCAAGCCGAGCGGUAUUUCUUCUUCGGGAGAGAGAGAGCGGCGUACGGGUGCGUAACACGUGUGCAACCUACCUUUAUCAGGAGGAUAGCCUUUCGAAAGGAAGAUUAAUACUCCAUAAUAUAUUAGAUGGCAUCAUUUAAUAUUGAAAACUCCGGUGGAUAGAGAUGGGCACGCGCAAGAUUAGAUAGUUGGUGAGGUAACGGCUCACCAAGUCAUUGAUCUUUAGGGGUCCUGAGAGGGAGAUCCCCCACACUGGUACUGAGACACGGACCAGACUCCUACGGGAGGCAGCAGUGAGGAAUAUUGGACAAUGGGUGAGAGCCUGAUCCAGCCAUCCCGCGUGAAGGAUGACGGUCCUACGGAUUGUAAACUUCUUUUGUAUAGGGAUAAACCUCUCUACGUGUAGAGAGCUGAAGGUACUAUACGAAUAAGCACCGGCUAACUCCGUGCCAGCAGCCGCGGUAAUACGGAGGGUGCAAGCGUUAUCCGGAUUUAUUGGGUUUAAAGGGUCCGCAGGGCGGGCCGAUAAGUCAGUGGUGAAAUCUCAUAGCUUAACUAUGAAACUGCCAUUGAUACUGUCGGUCUUGAGUAAAUUAGAGGUAGCUGGAAUAAGUAGUGUAGCGGUGAAAUGCAUAGAUAUUACUUAGAACACCAAUUGCGAAGGCAGGUUACCAUGAUUUAACUGACGCUGAGGGACGAAAGCGUGGGGAGCGAACAGGAUUAGAUACCCUGGUAGUCCACGCCGUAAAC